rnacentral:rRNA from 1 species
CAAUAGCGUAUAUUUAAGUUGCUGCAGUUAAAAAGCUCGUAGUUGGAUUUCGGGUGGGAAUGGCCGGUCCGCCGUUUCGGUGUGCACUUGCUACGCCCACCUUGCUGCCGGGGACGUGCUCUUGAGUUCACGCUCGGGACACGGAGUCGGCGAGGUUACUUUGAGUAAAUUAGAGUGUUCAAAGCAGGCCUACGCUCUGAAUACAUUAGCAUGGAAUAACACGAUAGGACUCUGGCCUAUCUUGUUGGUCUGUAGGACCGGAGUAAUGAUUAAGAGGGACAGUCGGGGGCAUUCGUAAUUCAUUGUCAGAGGUGAAAUUCUUGGAUUUAUGAAAGACGAACUACUGCGAAAGCAUUUGCCAAGGAUGUUUUCAUUAA